UACGGGGGGAGCAAGCGUUGUUCGGAUUUACUGGGCGUAAAGGGCGCGUAGGCGGCGUAACAAGUCACUUGUGAAAUCUCCGGGCUUAACCCGGAGCGGCCAAGUGAUACUGGUUGUGCUAGAGUGCGGAAGGGGCUACUGGAAUUCUCGGUGUAGCGGUGAAAUGCGUAGGAUAUCGAGAGGAACACCUGCGGCGGAAGGCGGGUAGCUGGGCCGACACUGACGCUGAGGCGCGAAAGCCAGGGGAGCGAACGGG
rnacentral:rRNA from 1 species